rnacentral:rRNA from 1 species
CUUGCUACUUUGCCGGCGAGCGGCGGACGGGUGAGUAAUGUCUGGGAAACUGCCUGAUGGAGGGGGAUAACUACUGGAAACGGUAGCUAAUACCGCAUGACGUCGCAAGACCAAAGUGGGGGACCUUCGGGCCUCACGCCAUCGGAUGUGCCCAGAUGGGAUUAGCUAGUAGGUGAGGUAAUGGCUCACCUAGGCGACGAUCCCUAGCUGGUCUGAGAGGAUGACCAGCCACACUGGAACUGAGACACGGUCCAGGACUCCUACGGGAGGCAGCAGUGGGGAAUAUUGCACAAUGGGCGCAAGCCUGAUGCAGCCAUGCCGCGUGUGUGAAGAAGGCCUUAGGGUUGUAAAGCACUUUCAGCGAGGAGGAAGGCGUUGUGGUUAAUAGCUGCAACGAUUGACGUUACUCGCAGAAGAAGCACCGGCUAACUCCGUGCCAGCAGCCGCGGUAAUACGGAGGGUGCAAGCGUUAAUCGGAAUUACUGGGCGUAAAGCGCACGCAGGCGGUUUGUUAAGUCAGAUGUGAAAUCCCCGAGCUUAACUUGGGAACUGCAUUUGAAACUGGCAAGCUAGAGUCUUGUAGAGGGGGGUAGAAUUCCAGGUGUAGCGGUGAAAUGCGUAGAGAUCUGGAGGAAUACCGGUGGCGAAGGCGGCCCCCUGGACAAAGACUGACGCUCAGGUGCGAAAGCGUGGGGAGCAAAC